AGUGAACGCUGGCGGUAGGCCUAACACAUGCAAGUCGAACGGCAGCACAGUAAGAGCUUGCUCUUACGGGUGGCGAGUGGCGGACGGGUGAGGAAUACAUCGGAAUCUACUUUUUCGUGGGGGAUAACGUAGGGAAACUUACGCUAAUACCGCAUACGUCCUACGGGUGAAAGCAGGGGAUCUUCGGACCUUGCGCGAUUGAAUGAGCCGAUGUCGGAUUAGCUAGUUGGCGGGGUAAAGGCCCACCUAGGCGACGAUCCGUAGCUGGUCUGAGAGGAUGAUCAGCCACACUGGAACUGAGACACGGUCCAGACUCCUACGGGAGGCAGCAGUGGGGAAUAUUGGACAAUGGGCGCAAGCCUGAUCCAGCCAUACCGCGUGAGUGAAGAAGGCCUUCGGGUUGUAAAGCCCUUUUGUUGGGAAAGAAAAGCAGCAGGUUAAUACCCCGCUGUUCUGACGGUACCCAAAGAAUAAGCACCGGCUAACUUCGUG
rnacentral:rRNA from 1 species